CUACGUGCCAGCAGCCGCGGUAAUACGGAGGGUGCGAGCGUUAAUCGGAAUAACUGGGCGUAAAGGGCACGCAGGCGGUGACUUAAGUGAGGUGUGAAAGCCCCGGGCUUAACCUGGGAAUUGCAUUUCAUACUGGGUCGCUAGAGUACUUUAGGGAGGGGUAGAAUUCCACGUGUAGCGGUGAAAUGCGUAGAGAUGUGGAGGAAUACCGAAGGCGAAGGCAGCCCCUUGGGAAUGUACUGACGCUCAUGUGCGAAAGCGUGGGGAGCAAACAGGAUUAGAUACCCUGGUAGUCCACGCUGUAAACGAUGUCGAUUUGGGGGUUGAGCUUUAAGCUUGGCGCCCGUAGCUAACGUGAUAAAUCGACCGCCUGGGGAGUACGGCCGCAAGGUUAAAACUCAAAUGAAUUGACGGGGGCCCGCACAAGCGGUGGAGCAUGUGGUUUAAUUCGAUGCAACGCGAAGAACCUUACCUGGUCUUGACAUCC
rnacentral:rRNA from 1 species